rnacentral:ribozyme from 11 species
AAACAAUUAGAAAAGAACUAAUAAUAAAUUAAAUCUUAAUUAUUUUUUGAUUUUUCUUUUUUUUUUUUUUCCCAUUUUUCUUUUUUC